rnacentral:rRNA from 1 species
UACGUAGGUGGCAAGCGUUGUCCGGAUUUAUUGGGCGUAAAGCGAGCGCAGGCGGUUCCUUAAGUCUGAUGUGAAAGCCCACGGCUUAACCGUGGAAGGUCAUUGGAAACUGGGGAACUUGAGUGCAGAAGAGGAGAGUGGAAUUCCAUGUGUAGCGGUGAAAUGCGUAGAUAUAUGGAGGAACACCAGUGGCGAAGGCGACUCUCUGGUCUGUAACUGACGCUGAGGCUCGAAAGCGUGGGGAGCAAACAGGAUUAGAUACC